UAUCCGCCCGGGAACUACGAGCACUAGCUUAAAACCCAAAGGACUUGGCGGUGCUUUAGAUCCACCUAGAGGAGCCUGUUCUAGAACCGAUAAUCCCCGUUAAACCUCACCUCUCCUUGUUUUUCCCGCCUAUAUACCGCCGUCGUCAGCUUACCCUGUGAGGGACCAACAGUAAGCACAAUUGGUAAAGCCCAAAACGCCAGGUCGAGGUGUAGCGUAUGGAGAGGGAAGAAAUGGGCUACAUUCAGUGCACCACUGAAUACGGAAGAUGGGCUGAAACGCCCGCCUGAAGGAGGAUUUAGCAGUAAGUAGGAAAUAGAGUGUCCCACUGAAACCGGCCCUGAAGCGCGUACACACCGCCCGUCACUCUCCCCGAAAAAAAAUUGACAGUACUUAAAACCCUAUCACACUAAAGGGGAGGCAAGUCGUAACAUGGUAAGUGUACCGGAAGGUGCACUUGGAAAAACCGAGGUGUAGCUAAACAACGAAUAGCAUUUCCCCUACACUGAAAAGGCACCCGUGCAAACCGGGUUACCUCGACACCCAACAGCUAGCCCAACCAACCAAAACCAACACACCCCUAUUUAUAACCCCGCAUCAACCAUAAAACCACUAAACAAACCAUUUUCCCCCCUUAGUAUGGGCGACAGAAAAGGAACUAUGGAGCAACAGAGAUAGUACCGCAAGGGAAGGCUGAAAGAGAAAUG
rnacentral:rRNA from 1 species